GGGCAUCGUGUUAUGACAGUUUCCCCACGUUACGACCAGUACAAAGAUGCAUGGGAUACUCAUUGACCAAGGCAGAUAAGAAAGAUGAAGCAUGAGAGAAGUAUCCUGACAAAGCUGAAGCAGCAGUGUGGUGGUCAGUUCACAUCAAAGAUGGAAGGAAUGGUCACAGAUUUGACUUUGGCAAGGGAAAAUCAAACUAACUG